GACAGAGGGUGCAAACGUUGCUCGGAAUCACUGGGCGUAAAGGGCGUGUAGGCGGGAAGGAAAGUCAGAUGUGAAAUCCCUGGGCUCAACCCAGGAACUGCAUUUGAAACUCCCUUUCUUGAGUGUCGGAGAGGAAAGCGGAAUUCCUGGUGUAGCGGUGAAAUGCGCAGAUAUCAGGAAGAACACCCGUGGCGAAGGCGGCUCUCUGGUACGUGACUGACGCUGAGACGCGAAAGCGUGGGGAGCGAACAGG
rnacentral:rRNA from 1 species